rnacentral:lncRNA from 1 species
AUUACCUGAUCAUGGAUCAAUGAUCACCAUUACUGAUGCAUGUGGUAGGAGGUCCUUCCUGAUAUUGAGAAGCUACACAGCAUGUCCGACCUCUACAGGUCAUCCACUAGAAGCUCCGAAUAGAUCAUCCUUCUUGAGAGUGCUAGCUCAUGAUGAAAGAUCUGGAUGGUUGAUGGAGACUCCUUUCUUUAGAUAAAAUGGAUACUUUCAAAUUAGAAGAAGGAGCUUUUUAAGGAGGAGAUGGCAUGGAAGAAGAAAAAUAAAAUUCUUUUUAUUUUUCUCUCUCAUAAAAUUAGAACUAGGAAACCCUAGAACCAUCACCCU